GGUAAAUCAAGCUACAGGACUGAAUUAGAGCACCAUGGGACACGGCUCUGUUUCCGUGGGUUUCUCGUGAGGACCCUCAACUGUGGAAGAGCUCACCGUGAUACCUUGUUUGCUAUUGGUCAGGCAUUGAGGCUGCUGGGAACUCAGACUAAAAGCAUUCUGGAGCCUAGAGCAAAGUAAGAGAACUACAGUCUUCAAUGGGCUUUGGAACGAAGACACAAGGCUCCGAUACUCUGGACCCCCUUGAAUAUUUGAGAGAUGCUUCAUUCUCUACCACUCCCUUUGAAACUACCUUAUAGAAAGAAAAGUAAGAAGAGUAUGACUGCUCCAGAGGCACUGUCAUCAGACUCGGAGAAAUUACUGAAUCUAUAGCAAGAAGAAAUUACUGGCUCUAUAAAGAAGGUUAAAAUUCUUUUUUUUUUUCUUUCUUAUGUU